rnacentral:ncRNA from 2 species
AUAAUCUAAUUCAUGUCGGGUUCCUGCAGGCACUGCAGGAAAAUAGGGAACCAGGUGCAAGUCCUGGACGGUCCGGCCACUGUAAGUGGGAAGCCACCUAAGCAAAAAAACCACUGGAGUGGUACUCAGCGUUAAAAGAAGAUUUCAUAAAGGUAACCUGGGUUAUUUAAGGGUGUUAUGUUUGGGUUACUGUAAAUCUUAGAAGUGCUGAGUGCCAUCCUGGGAAGGUAGCUAGGUAGGUAAUGAUUCACAAGUCAGGAGAUCUAUCCGGCAUUGUGGGUACAU